UACGGAGGGUGCAAGCGUUAUCCGGAUUCACUGGGUUUAAAGGGUGCGUAGGCGGGUAUAUAAGUCAGUGGUGAAAGCUCCGGGCUUAACUUGGAAACUGCCAUUGAUACUGUAUAUCUUGAAUGUCGUUGAGGUUAGCGGAAUGUUGCAUGUAGCGGUGAAAUGCUUAGAUAUGUUACAGAACACCAAUUGUGAAGACAGCUAACUAAGCGAUGAUUGACGCUGGAGGCACGAAAGCGUGGGGAGCAAACAGG
rnacentral:rRNA from 1 species